AUCAUUUCCAAUUCGGCUGUCAAGUCCUAAUCCGGGACUGCUCCUUCCAUCAGCAGCCGUCCAAGCCUUCAGAUGAGGGGUGCGGGGACCUCUGACGGGCCCUGCCCCCAUCCAGCUUUCCACUCACCUGACGGGGACCACAUGACUCAGCGGCCUUCUGACCAGGCCACACCCGGGACUGGGGGCUGGGACACAGCAGUCCCUGCUGUCUGGUCACAGGUUUGGGGAACCUGACACACCAGCGACCUUCCUUCAUCUGUCCUUUGUCCCUUUGCUGUAAGUGUCCAUGAGCCAGGAUGCUCUGUAGAAGCCUAAGCCUGUCCACGAACUGCAAACCUGCCCUCCUGUGAGGCAGGAGCACACGGGGCCCCGGGGAAACAAGCAGACUCUGCAGCUGCAUGAUGCCACCCAGGCCGGCCCGCUGAAACGCAGUGGCUUUGGAGCCACCGUGCCACCACCUGUGUGACCCUGGGCAGGUGUCCUAACCUCUCUGAUCUCCAGCACCCCUCAAUGGCAACAUGGGGAUGAUACCCCCAACCUGGGAGACUUGCUGUGGGAGUCGAGCCGAUUGUCUGGGACACAGCACGUACCUGGUGGUGGGUGUGGGAAGCUGUCUGGGUGCCGGUGGCCUCUGGCAGUGACCCGGUCUGUGUCUGUCCCCUGAUCGUCAGGGAUGCUCCCAGCUGCUGCUCUCAGUGGGCCCCAGGCCUGCCUACCAAAGAGGUUACGUACCAGCCGGGGAGCUCCGUGGUCGGGGGAUAGCAGUGCGCUUGUCGAUCAAGCCGGGUGUGUUCAUCGUGGCUGCAUCGCGGGGUCCACGGACUGGUGUGGUCGGCAGCGUCCUUUUCCCUGUUCUGCACACGAAUCUCAGGUGACUCCAUCACCCCCUGUCGACGCAACUGCCGAGUCAUGGAGCCCCGAGUCAGACCUGGGUCUACCUGGCUGCCACGCCAGACAGAGCUGGACAUGAUGUAUCUGGGAAUAGGAACAGAGGACAUCAAUUUUUAGUAUCUUCAGUCUGAGACCCAGCUGGAGCUCCUGGAAGUAAAGUCUACAAAAGACUGGGUCCCCAGCAAGUCCACACUCAGCCUCCAGAGAUUCUUCAGUCACUGUUUAAGUGUCCUGUCAAUUCCUGGUCCUGCUGGCUUCUGCUCCCAGGAAGCUGAUCUCAGCUGCAAUUCUCUGCAUCCCCUGUGUGUCUCUUCAGUUUGCCCUGGGACCUCAAUUCUCUGAUGGAGCUAAGUUGUUGAUUUUCAGUUUGCUCAGAUUUUUUGUGUUGUGAAGACAGGAGUGAUGACCUCCAAGCUCUUUUUAUGUUGGAGAUGAAGCUGGAAGUCUCUCCGUGUAUUUACAAAGACACAAUGUGUAAUCACAGCAGCCCAGCGGAUGCUUCCCUACAGCCCCCUGGUAGGAGGAGAGAGAUGCCCAUGACUGGUCCCAGGUUCCUUACUGGUGAUGUGCCUUCCACCCUCCUUCCUUCUUGGCCUGACAGAGGAAUGAGGACAGAAUACCAUGAACACUGCAGCAAAUGGUGUAGCUCACAGGCUGAUUAUAAUAUUGGUGCUGUUGGUAAAUCUUUCUCUGGGCAUAAUUCUAUCCCAGCGGUUCCUCAGCUAAGCAAGCAUCGACCCUAAUUAAAAGCCUGCAGAUGUAAAAUAGAUGGCUAGUGGGAAGCAGCUGCAUAGCACA